AUGUACUAGUUAAUUUAUAUAUCACUAACUUGUCAAGUUAGAGUAACCUCCGGGUGUACAUUU
rnacentral:tRNA from 1 species